UUAUGUUUAACAAAGUCUUAUUUCUUUUUUAGGUUGUGUCUUUGUGGCAGAGAUAAAGUGGUGUAUAUAAGAUCAGAUGGGUCCACGUGGUUUCAGAUUUCUACCGUAGCGUAAAAAGGUUGUGUUCAAGUGACAAAGUUCAAGAUCAAAGAAACAGAUCACGGGUGGAUGUGUUUUUCAAAUAUGGAAUAUUAAAUUUGUGCUUUAGUGGCAAAGAUCAAGCACAACAUACAGAUCAUGGACAAAGGUGUUGUUAGAUCUGGAGUACAAACGGGCUACCAUGGAGACGUACCUCUAUAUCUAGGCAGUGGUGCAAAUGAAAAACAGACCUUCAGAUCUACAAGGUUGUACGGCAGAUUCUGGAGUACAAAAAGGUUACCAUGGAAACAUACAUCUGGGCAAUGGUAUAGAUGGAUGACCGACGUCUGGAUCUACAAAGUUAUGCAGCAUAUUUUGGAAAAUACAUGGUAUGCAUGUUUACUUUUAAUUUCUUGUAACGCUAUAAUACAUUUGUUUCUGUCUUUACACAUGCCUUUCUCAAUUUUAUGCAUUCAACAGGGUUACCACGGAAUCGUAUAUAUACAUAAAGGCAAUGGUAUAAACGGACUGCAGACAUUCAGAUACACAAAGUUUUACAGCAGAUGAAGCAUGUAAGGUGUGUAUGUUUACUUUUUCUUCCUUUUGGCAACAUUAUGUUAUGUUUGUUUCUGUUUUUACACAUGCCUGCCUGUAUCUUAUACACACAACAGGUUUAGCACACGGAAACGCAUGUCCACAUCAAUGCAAUGGUAUGAAUGGAUGACCGACGUUCAGAUGUAUUAAGUUAUACAGCAAAUUUUGGAGCAUAAAGGGGUUACCAUGGAGACGUACCUCUAUAAUCUAGGCAGUGGUGCAAAUGAAAAACAGACAUUCAGAUCUACAAAGUUGUGCGGUUGAUUCUGGAGUACAAAAAGUGAGUAUAUUUACUUUUCCAUUCUUGUUGCCACGCUACAGAUAUAAUUUCUGUUCAUACACAUGCAUUUUUGCAUCUAUACACUCAUCAGGGUUACCAUGGAAACAUACAUCUAGGCAAUGGUAUAGAUGGGUGACCGACGUCUGGAUCUACAACGUUAUGCAGCAUAUUUUGGAAAAUACAUGGUAUGCAUGUUUACUUUUAAUUUCUUGUAACGCUAUAAUACAUUUGUUUCUGUCUUUCACAUGCCUUUCUGUAUCUUAUGCAUUUAACAGGGUUACCACGGAAUCGUAUAUAUACAUAAAAGCAAUUAUAUAAACGGACUGCAGACGUUUAGAUAUACAAAGUUUUACAGCAGAUGAAGCAUGUAAGGUGUGUAUGUUUACUUUUUCUUCCUUUUGGCAACAUUAUGUUAUGUUUGUUUCUGUUUUUACACAUGCCUGCCUGUAUCUUAUACACACAACAGGGUUAGCACGGAAACGCAUGUCCACAUCAAUGCAAUGGUAUGAAUGGAUGACCGACGUUCAGAUGUACUAAGUUAUACAGCAAAUUUUGGAACAUAAAGAGUUUGUAUAUUGACUUUUCUUUUGAUGCGUAAUUUGUAUAAAGGUAAUUUGUUUACAGUGGCUACUUGGUUGUUUUUGUGGUGGUGUUUGUUGCGAUGUUUGUGGUGGUGUUUGUUGCGAUGUUUGUGGUGGUGUUUGUUGUUGUGUUUGGUGUUUGUUGUAGUGUUUUUGUGUUUAUGGGGAUGUCUGUGGUGGUUUCAAUGUGGUCUUCUCGGUUUUAUUCUUGAUGGUUGUAUUGUUUUGUUGAAAACGGGUAUUUGGUGCGUUUUGUUUGUUGUAUUGGGUUGUUCGUCAUGGUGUUUUUCUUUCUGCGAUUACCAGUGUAUUAUUACUCGCUUUGUAUACUGUAGAAAAUUAUUAGAAUAAGUUCAAUAUUACAUUGUAUAACUUUACUUUUCCAGCAAAUUUUAGAUACCCGGAAACACACAUCAAGAUAUAUGCAGACGAAUAGGCAUCAUGUGCAGACGACAGCUUGGACUGGGAAGCGUGCGCCAUUUUUUUUAUUUCGGCUUUUUAUUCCUUUUGUUUUGCAUUGUUUUUUUCCACUAGAAUAUUGGGGUACGUGAAGAACGAAGACGCAGACGGAUAUUAAAGAUGCAUACUAGACAAAAAGUUCGAGUUACGUUUUAUCACGAACAGGUGCGUAUGUUGCUUUUUACAUUAUGCCAUUUUGUAUGCCUCUCUUUGCAGAAUUUUCAAGUUGAAUACAAGCCGGUGUAAAGAUGUCGCCAUGUAGAUGGCACAAUAGUCUAGUGGAUGGCGAAGAUAGCGCGGCUGAUGUUGACUGUACAGAUACGCGUUAAGAUGUCAUGCUGUAGAUGUGUCAAUGGUUUAGUGGACGACACAGCUUGGUCCUUCUUCUCGGACGCACUGAGUAUUUAGUCAGCAGAGCAUAACGUUCAACAUUUAGGAAGCAAAGGUCAAGUUUCCACUUGGAGUAAUUCAAUAGCGUAGAAAUGUGGACACAGAUCCUGGUUUUGGUGAAAUAAAUACUCGAAAUAUCGGACGAGAAGAAAUGUUUUGGAUUAUACACGAAGAACAUGUUAGUAGAUGGAACAGUAGUGGCAGAACCACCUUGCUGGUACCCUAAUGAAGCCGGUCACCAGAUGUGCAUUGAAACCCUAUCGAACCAUUGCGUUAGCCGUUAUCAACAAGGCAAGAAAGUGCAUGAAGUGCAUUAUAGUGGAAUUCAAGCCUUGGUGGACCUUUCUUCUGUCUGUGUCCCGUCUUGUUGAUGGUAGACAGCUGUUCCACAUCUCGUGCACAACAGAGAAACCAUACUUCGGACGAAGACUUCGUUCAGAUCUAAAAGACAAGGAGACGGUGUUUGCCAUUAUUGAAAGACAUAGGAAAAGAAGCAAUGACAGAAAACAAAUAUCACCAUACCGUCUUGUCUUUAAUGUUUCCAACAGCUGACAGCCCAAUGUAAGCCAGAUUCACAAGUAAUAAGUGUCUGCAGAAGGAAGAACCAAUUACGAUAGAUCCACGACAGUCCUGGCACAAGCAAACAUGGCAUCACCCUGACACAAGCUUUGUUGAGAUUAGAUAUAAACUGUACUUAAUUAUACUCUCAUGUACAACGUACAUGGGAUUAUAUUGGAGUCACAUAUGUCAGCGGGUCCGUUCGUCCGUUCGCCUAUCUGUACAUCAUGUCUGAUGAGAAGAUUUAAAAACAACUGGGUUCAUUUAUUAGCCUCAAGAAGAAUAUUCGUUGUGCACAACCCAAGUCACUAGGCCCAACGUCAGUAUUACUCUCGGAGGUCAAAGUUCAAAUAACUUGAACUUAGUGUCCGCUCCAUAUUGUCUAAACUGAAACGAAUAUUUAGAUCAAGCAUUCGUUAUUAUACUCGCCCUGCCUUCAGGGUCACUGUCACCGUUGCAUUCAGGUUAAAAUUUGAUAUGAUUCUCAGUCACUAUAUUUUCUUAACUUCUGCCCAUAUUAGCAUCAAACUUCACAUAAGGGUUGAUUGUGGUAAAGCAUCCAAAAGGUCAGUUACUGGGGUCAUAUUUUGUAAUUGUGCUGGUUAAAUCUUAGAUUGUUUCUUAUAUCUUCUCAUUCACCCGCUCCUACCCCAUACCAUACCCAUACCCCCUACCCUACCCCCAAAAGAAAAUGAGUCUUAUUGUUUCAUCACUCACGCUUACUUAUAUCCUAUAACAAUAAAUAUUGAUCAGUAUUUCCGAAUAGUCAAGCGGGCUUUCCUUACAACAGUUCUUGAUAUAAAAUUAGGAUUAGUAAAUAGAUGCAAGCACUCACAACCUAGUUCAUUAGGUCAAAGGUUAAGUUCUGACUUAAGAGACCGCACCAUAUUGUGUAAUCUAAUAAAGUAAGCACUAACUGUCAAUUCCAUCUAGCCGAAAUACGAAAAGCACAACACAUGCCACUAGGUUAAAGGUCAGUGUGACACAUAGAAUGUCAAAGGUCAAAUAGCUUUGCGUCUGCUACAUAUCUUGUAACCCCAUUUUCCUUACACUCAUAUUACUACUUUAGCAGUAAAUAUCAAUAAGAGCUGUAUAGAACCCAGACUAUUAGAUCCAAGGUCAAGGUUACACUUGAUUGUUAAAAUGAUGACAACAUAGACUUACCCUGCAUCAAUGCAGCGUCUGGGGGUAACAAUAGCUCUAGUUUAUCAUUUUAGCGGACUAAAUUUGUAAUUGUAUCAAUCAUUUGACAAAUAUUUCCCUAAUUUUAGGAUAAAUAUUUAAAACAAAAAUCAGGAAAUUGUUUGUUUUUUUGAACACUGAUACAGUCAGACUAUUUUUAGACACACUGAAUAUUUUAGCUUGGUUUGUUGUCGGUCAUGAUUUUAUGCAAAUUAUUUUUAUAAAUAAUAUUUUUGUUACAAAUAGCACAUUUGACAUUAAUGUAAAAACAAUCAGGGACAGCCAAUUUUGUAAGGAAAAAUAUGAUUUGGUUAACUAUUUCAAAAAGUGUCUUAAAUUUUUGCUCUUUUGAACAGUUGCGUUUUAACUGGUCAGGGAUAGUUUCAAAAAUAAAUAUGCGUAGUUUAGUUUAUGUAUAAAAGGCUACUUUUCGCAGAUUGUACAUUUUGGAGUGGGGGCUAAAUUCCAAACUCUCAUAUAUUUUAAAACAUAUAGAGGACAUUUCUUUGUUUCAGUGUAAGCUCGAAAUAGAAACAUUCUAGUGUUCACACGUGAAAAAUUUUAUUAUUAUUUUUAUUUUAUAUUUUCUGCCAACGUAACGCCAUACGCAAUGUGCAAUGUUACUCUACAUUUUAUGGCAAUAUACAUGUUGGAAAAAGUGACAUAGUGACAUUUUAAUCUACAUGUAGUUAUGGUAGUUAAAAAGAUAUGCGAUUCUAUUAUUCAUAUACUUGCGUUAAAUUGUGGUUACAUACAAGCGAAAAUUAUAUUUGGAUUUCUCACCUUUAAACAGUGGCUUUAUCAGGGUAUAAUGCAUCGUCGUUUUCUUGAAACCUUCUCAAAAAUGCUAUAUCUUUCCAUAUGCUUGUAACUGCAGAAUGUACCGAUAAGACUGUAAUACUUUUAUUCAAAUCCGCAUUCUAGUCCUUUGUCUGGGUCAUCUACAUGUUGCUUUUAAAAGUCAUUUUGGCCUCAUUGUUUGUACACUGAAUUUUACACACUGUUUGGCAUAACUUUUAACCAACACCUAACUCUGAGCACUAACCUUAACCAUUUGGGGCUGAAGUGACUUUUAAAGCAUCUUUGUCUUUUAUGGGAACAAGACUAGCAUAUCUUUAUAAAUGAUGGGUAAAAAUUGUUGGCAAACUUUCAGUUUUUAGUUUAUGCUUUUAAUGAAGUACUGUAAUAUAAAGUUAGAUUAUAACAUGAUAAAUGCAUUGUUUAAAACAGAUAGAAAUCCAAAUAUGAUAUUCACUAGAACGGAACUACACUUGAACGCGAAAUGAUAAGAAUUAUAAGGAAGUGAAAUAUGGUUAAAGCAACAAAGUUGUAUAGUAAUGCUUUCAAAAAAAAAAAAAAAAUAACAACAACUAAAAUACACGAGAAAAUCAUUGAAAUAUAAAAGAUUUAUUCUUAUACAUCUCUUUAGACCUACUGAACUUAUUUUCCAACAUAAGCAUUGUGACGUCAUGAAAUAUAGCGUGACAUUACGACAUUACCCCUGGCGCAUUUCUUUGCAUGGCUGAAUAAGAAAAGAUAAUAUGAAAAAUAAUUAGUUUAACUCAACAAGACAUAAAGCAAUACAAUAUUUAUGUGUACAAUUUGGUUAAAAUUGUUCGAAGUUAAGAAUUAGAUAUGAACGUUUCAUAAUGAAUUAUUUUCACUUGGGAACGCCAGAACUAUGUUCACUCGGUGCUGAAAUAAACGAAUGUCUUCUAUACCUUUUACAAUAGCAAAUUGAUAAAACUUAAGGUGACAGAAAUAACUAAAACAAUCCCUUACCAUUUUGAAAUGACAGUCGAAAUUUCAUUUUUGGUGCAAAUAUUGUCUGUUAUUCUGAUUUAUAAAUGAUAUACAUUUUGUACCUUGUAUUAUAAUAACAUAGAUACUUUAAAAUAUAAUUCCAAGCUUCCAAGCUUACCAUAUUUUCUCAAAAAGUUGAAUUCGAUGAAUUUUUGAACAUAUCUUUUUAAAUAGUAAGAUAAUAGUAUCUUUUGGGGUAUUUUUAUUGUUUUAAUACUGUAGUUAUACUUUUUAAAUGUUACUAGUAUUUGUGAUUAUUUGUUACAUUUUAUUUCUGCUUGAAAAAAAAGAAUAAAAUGCCAUACAGUUGUGUUGAUUAUUUUAGUUUAAGAAAUAAAAGGUCAUACAAUUGCAUUGGUUAUUGAUGUUUCGGAAAUCAAAAAUGAUUUUCCUUUAGCAUCUCUAAGUACUUACCGUCACACCGUACGCAAAAUGCAGGUGUGUUCAAUUGGACCUCAUACUUUAUCCAGAGAUUAUCCUUAUUGAUAUGCCUUUUGUCAACCAUCAACGAUAUUUCACCUUGACACCAUUUGCAAAAUAAACUGAGGUAAUUCCAACACGUACUUUGUCCUUCAAUUUAUCCCCACUGAACAUCAUUUGCAAAACUUGUCGACAUUUUCCCCCAUCCAAAGGUAUUGCCCUUUCCACCCUUUGACGCCAUUUGAAAUGCGAAGGGGAGGUCACUUACACACUCCUUUCCAAAUCCAGUUAUUGCCCCUUUGACGCCAUUUGAAAUACGGGGGGAGGUCACUUUUACAGACAUCUUUCCCACAUUGUUACUGCACCUUCCGUUUUGACGUCAUUUGCAAAACGAAGGAGAGAUUGCUCUUAAACACCUUUUCACUCAUCCUGUUAUUGCCCCUUCCCCCUUUGACGCCAUUUGUAAUACGAAGAGGAGGUCACUUACACAUCUUUCCUCAUCCAAUUAUUGCCCCUUCCUUUGGACGCCAUUUGCAAUAUCAAGUGGAGGUCACUCUUACACACUCCUUUCCCCUAUCAAGUUAGUCCCUUCUCCCUUUGGCGUCAUUUGCAAAACGAAAGAGAGGUCACUUAACACACUUCUUCCCCAUCUAGUUAUUGCCCCUUCCCCCUUUGACGCCAUUUGCAAUAUCAAGAGGUCACUCUUAAACACUC
rnacentral:lncRNA from 1 species